AGAGUUUGAUUAUGGCUCAGGAUAAUGCUGGCGGCGUGCCUAACACAUGCAAGUCGAGCGGCCGCUUUAGCGGCGAGCGGCGGACGGCUGAGUAACGCGUGGGAACGUACCCCAAAGUGAGGAAUAACCGCUCGAAAGGGUGGCUAAUGCCGCAUAGUCUUCGGAUUAAAGGAUUUAUCCGCUUUGGGAACGGCCUGCGUACGAUUAGAUAGUUGGUGAGGUAAAGGCUCACCAAGUCUACGAUCGUUAACUGGUCUGAGAGGAUGAUCAGUCAGACUGGAACUGAGACACGGUCCAGACUCCUACGGGAGGCAGCAGUGAGGAAUCUUCCACAAUGGGCGAAAGCCUGAUGGAGCAACGCCGCGUGCAGGAGGUUCGUCGACUGCUUUUAUAAGUGAUAAACUUAUGAAUAAGCACCGGCAACUACGUGCCAGCAGCCGCGGUCAUACGUAGGGUGCAAGCAUUAUCCGGAGUGACUGGGCGUAAAGAGUGCGUAGGUGGUUUGUUAAGUGAGUAGUGAAAUCUGGUGGCUCAACCAUAGACUAUUAUUCAAACUGGCAAACUCGAGAAUAGCAGAGGUAACUGGAAUUUCUAGUGUAGGAGUGAAAUCCGUAGAUAUUAGAAGGAACACCAAUGGCGUAGGCAGGUUACUGGGCUUUUCUGACACUGAGGCACGAAAGCGUGGGGAGCGAACCGGAUUAGAUACCCGGGUAGUCCACGCCGUAAACUAUGGAUACUAGCUGUUGGAGGAUCGACUUCAGUAGCGAAGCUAACGCGUUAAGUAUCCCGCCUGUGGAGUACGGUCGCAAGACUAAAACAUAAAGGAAUUGACGGGGACCCGCACAAGCGGUGGAGCGUGUUCUUUAAUUCGACGAUAAACGAAGAACCUUACCAGGGUACAUCCUUGGAAUCUCUGCGAAAGUAGAGAGUUAUCCAAGGAAGGUGAUGCAUGGCCGUCGUCAGCUCGUGUCGUGAGAUGUUUGGUUAAGUCCAUCAACGAGCGCAACCCUUGUGAAUAGUUGUAUUUUUCUAUUCAGACUGCCCCGGUAACGGGGAGGAAGGAGGGGAUGAUGUCAGGUCAGUAUUUCCCUUACACCCUGGGCUAGAAACGCGCUACAAUGGCUGGUACAAUGCGCAGCGAAGUCGCGAGACGGAGCAAUCGCUCAAAGCCAGUCCCAGUUCGGAUUGCAGGCUGAAACUCGCCUGCAUGAAGUUGGAAUCGCUAGUAAUCGCAGAUCAGCAUGCUGCGGUGAAUACGUUCCCGGGUCUUGUACACACCCCCGUC
rnacentral:rRNA from 1 species